ensembl:lncRNA
AGCACCACUGCCCAACCAUCUACAGGAUCAUCAGCUCCAAUCGUAGUUUCCACAACUUCAAAAUCAUUUACACCUACUCAAACAACUGGACAACCAACAACGACUGAGACUGUAACUGAAAAUGAGUUGACCACAACUCAGACACCUUUGUCCACCACCACCAGGCCACCAAAAGUGGGAACUACUGGCCUAACAAGCCAACCAACGACUACAGCAACAACCACAUUAGAAGAGGUAACAGGCACAUCAUCUGAAACAUCAACAUCUACAAGCACAGCCCUGCCAGUGUCCCAAACUUCAUUGCCAGUUGUUACAUCCACACAGCCAACAACGCUGACAAAAACAACUGCUGUACCAGUCACUACCCUUGUGUACACAACAGUGAGUGUAGAAUCAUCCACUGGGUCUGAGGUUACCACUCAGGGUCUUGCUUCAGCAACAAAACCACUCAAAGUUGAAACAACAUCCUCUUUAUUGUCAACCACUUCAGUUGUUUGUUGUUUUGUUAAUGGCACACAUUUUCAAUCAGGUACAAAAUUCCCACUUAAUUUUUAUUCUUGUAUUAAUUAAUAAUCUUAAGAAAAGCUAAAAAAAAAUUUAACUUUGUAAUGUUUUUUUUUUUUUUUUUUUUUUUUUUUUUUUUUUUUUUUACUGAUGGCUUUGGUUGGUGCUUCACUGCAUACUGUAAUGCAACUUGUAAUAUUGCGAAGAUUUCAACAUCAUGUGAAACCUCCCCAUCACCAUCCAUUCCUCCUGCAACAACCACAUAUUCCAGUUCAUCAACAACCACAGAAACAACACAGCCUGCCACAACUAAUACAGACACAGAAGUAACAACUACCACCUAUGGGCCUAAGUGUGAUGCACUUAAUCCACCAAGACAGCCCAAUGAUAUUUGGCAGAGUGGAUGUCAAAUGUGUGAGUGUGAGAGUGAAACACUGACCGUCCGUUGCCAGCCGGUAACUUGUCCUGUUUCACCACCUGUUACUUGCGAUCAGCCUGGACAAGUGUUUGUGAACACAACAAUUGACUGCUGUGAGAUCCAUGAGUGCAGUAAGUGAUCCGCAAACAAGAAAACGUUGGGGACACAGAAGGACUUUUUAAAAC